rnacentral:lncRNA from 1 species
CACCGAGAAAACCUUGAAAGCAGCCAGAGAGAAAUGACAGGUGACCUUCAGGGCAAUAGAUCAUGAAUGAUACCCAAGUUCUCAUUCGGAACCGCAUGGGAAGUUGCCCGGUUUUUCAAGCUGAGAAAUGGAAAGAAAUGGUUAACUUUGUAACUAUAGAUCUAGUAGAACUAUCCCCAGUAAUAAAGAACGAGUGAAAGCAUCCCCAACCACAGGGAGAUAGGGAAUGCACUUACUGUUAAAAACUCCCCCAAAAGUGGCCCUCAAGGCUAUCUCAGCAGAGAGUCUGGGUCCCAGAAGAGAAGGAGGAGCCUAAGAAUGGCGGAGAAUAGAGAGAUGUGAUCCUCUAUUUUGACUAUUCGCUUAGCUCACACGUGGCAGUCAAAGCAAACUUACACACCAUCUGCUAUGGUGUUUAGUGUUUACAGAGAAAAUCUUAAAAAUAAUUACACUUUAAAGUGGGGGAAGGUAUACGGAGCUGAAGGAAAAUAGGGUUUUACCUUUGCCCCAUAUGACGAGGCACCAACCGGUGACUAUAGUCAGGUCCUUACACAUACAGUAAUGCCUACAGCAGUCACUAAAGAAGGCAUAAAGGCGAUAUAUUCAAAAUGCUGCACGUAGAUCAAAAAAUAGGUGUGGGGGAUAUAUUUAAGGAACUUAGGAAGGCGGGAAAGAGAAACACGAGGAAGGAAUUUGGAGGACAAAACUGGACAAAUCAUAAAAUGAAGAAUUAAACUCCAACUUUCAAAAUUACCACAAACACAAUGGGUUCCUACCUGAACGUCCCGCCUUUACACGUGCGACUUAAAAACACUAUCUGUGAGAUCUGCAGUCUUCAGAGAGGGAAGCUGGUGUUGCGUUGUCUGAAUACCCCCGGAAUGAAACCGGAACCCAAGUCUGUAUGCAUCGGUGAUGGUUCUUCCCAACGAAGAUCUACAGGACCUUGAGCCCCCACGGCAGCCACAUCCGCAUUGUGGUUUCCACAGCAGCCACCGUG